AUGAUAAAUGGAUAUUUUGUGGUGCUCCAUGCAGUAAAUGUGUAUGUGAUGCAUCAUACACUUGAGUGUUUAUAUGUUUCAUCAAGUUUGUCUGACCUGAUAUUGGAGAUGGCCCAUAACAGUGGACUAAAGGUUGUCGGUUUCUUGAAAAGUGGUUUAACAUGGUGGUGUGGAAGUGUCGUGGCUCGGCUGUGGGAGCUAGAGACCUUAUCAUGCAGAGAUCUUAUCAUGCAAAUCUCAUGUAUGCUGGCUGUAAAGGUUGGAACUGAAAGCAAUGGGAUAUCAGCCGUGUGCUUGCAGUAA
rnacentral:rRNA from 1 species